UUACGGCCAUACCACCUUGAAAUACCGGUUCUCGUAUGCUCACUGAAGUAAACCAACGUCGAGCCAGGUAAAUACCGAGAUGGGUGACCACUUGGAAAUACCAGGUGU